AUUUUUUUACUAACCCAAACGCUGCCGGUGAUAACUCUGAACACCUUAGAGAACUAUUGACAUCACAGCGUUGGGGCCAGCUUGGAUUUGGGUGCUGUCAUUUCCUAGCUAUGUGAUUCUGGCCAGGUGCCCUGAUCUCUCUAGAUACCAGGCUCCUCCUUAUGCAAAUGAUAACAGGAGAUGCCUCUGUGUAGGUUACCUGUGUGAACGGUUGAGUUCUUGGCACAGUGUUUGUGAGAUAAUAAGCCCCAGGGUUCCUGAUGUUGCUAAAACAAUGUCAAUUAUACCUAGUUUCUGAAGUAAGCUCCUGUGGCUUUGCUACAGCAGCUUUACAAAUAAACAUCCUGUUUAUAUAUCUUUUACUCAUAUUUUUAUCCAUCCAGAGUUUUUCUUAUGUAUGAGUUUUCUUCACUGAAUGAAGGAUACACAAUGUUCAUAUUUCCUUUCUGUGGCUGUAGUAGACACCAUGACCAAAGCAAGUCAGGUCUUCCAGCCAUGACCCAUGCCAGAAGCAUGAGAGACAGGCUGUGACACCUGCUGCAGAUGGAAGUAUGAAGGAAGCAGUGCUGGAGGGAGAAGUUUGACAUUUAACUCAGCUACAAGGAACUUGAGUGGCCUAUCAGUGGGAGUGCCUAUCACAACCUCUCUUUAAGUUCUCUCAGUACCAAGACGGCCUCCAGAUCCCUGUAGGAAUGACCCAACCAUAAAAAUGUACUCGUCUGGAAGCCAGAGUAUCAGCUUGCACCAGGUGAAGCAAAACCAGAACCUGCAAGCCUCAUGAACUUGGAAACCUACCAAAUCACUUCACUCGAUCAACCCAGUACUUGUAGUCAUGCCAGUGACUUGUUAGGAAUCAAUUUCUCCUUAUCAUGCCACCUGAAGGACCAUAUUUUGAGAUGUAAAAGAGACACACAUCGGAGGCUGGUGAGAUGGCUCAGCAGUUAAGAGCGCCGACGCCGACUGCUCUUCUGGAGGUCCUUAGUUCAAAUCCCAGCAACCACAUGGUGGCUCACAACCAUCUGUAAUGAGAUCUGACACCCUCUUCUGGUGCAUCUGAAGACAACUACAGUGUACUUACAUAUAAUAAUAAAUCUUUGGACCAGAGCGAGCA
rnacentral:lncRNA from 1 species